rnacentral:rRNA from 1 species
CGCGGCCUAUCAGCUUGUUGGUGAGGUAACGGCUCACCAAGGCGAUGACGGGUAGCUGGAGUGAGAGCUCGAUCAGCCACACUGGGACUGAGACACGGCCCAGACUCCUACGGGAGGCAGCAGUGGAGAAUCUUGCGCAAUGGGCGAAAGUCUGACGCAGCGACGCCGCGUGGGGGAAGAAGGCCUUCGGGUUGUAAACCCCUUUCAGGAGGGACGAAGCGAGAGUGACGGUACCUCCAGAAGAAGCCCCGGCCAACUACGUGCCAGCAGCCGCGGUAAUACGUAGGGGGCAAGCGUUGUCCGGAAUUAUUGGGCGUAAAGGGCUCGUAGGCGGCCCGGUAAGUCGGCAGUGAAAUCCCAGGGCUCAACCCUGGAACUGCUGUCGAUACUGUCGGGCUUGAGGAAGGUAGAGGAGAGUGGAAUUCCCGGUGUAGCGGUGGAAUGCGCAGAUAUCGGGAGGAACACCGAUAGCGAAGGCAGCUCUCCGGGCCUUACCUGACGCUGAGGAGCGAAAGCGUGGGUAGCAAACAGGAUUAGAUACCCUGGUAGUCCACGCCGUAAACGUUGGGUGCUAGGUGUGGGGUCCUAUCCACGGAUCCCGUGCCGUAGCCAACGCGUUAAGCACCCCGCCUGGGGAGUACGG